rnacentral:rRNA from 1 species
UACGGAGGGGGCUAGCGUUGUUCGGAAUUACUGGGCGUAAAGCGCACGUAGGCGGCUUUGUAAGUUAGAGGUGAAAGCCCAGGGCUUAACCCUGGAAUUGCCUUUAAGACUGCAUCGCUAGAAUCGUGGAGAGGUGAGUGGAAUUCCGAGUGUAGAGGUGAAAUUCGUAGAUAUUCGGGAGGAACACCAGUGGCGAAGGCGGGUCUCUGGGCAGUAACUGACGCUGAGGAGCGAAAGCGUGGGGAGCGAACAGG